ACACCUGCGCUACCAUCACCAAGCUUGUUGGUGAGACACAGGUUCCUCUCUUUCUAGAGUGACUGAAUCGGUGCUCAGAACUGGUUGUAGUGAAGGAGAAUUGCAAGCGGCAGGGCCACAGCGAGGUGCUACUAGCCACUACAAUGGAACGGUGUCAACAGAGGAAGAUCCAGCGGCUCUCCAUCCAUGUUGACCUGAUGAGGACGACCAUGGUAGCACUGUAUCGGAUGGUUGGGUUCCAGAUCGACAGUACCAUCGAGGGCUACUAUGCACCGCACAAGGACGCCUGCCGGAUGUACUUUGAUCAGUGGAGUACUCCAGGCAAUGCUUCUCAAAAUUGAUAAUUUCUCUUGAUGCACUCUGCUUUUAAUUUGUGAGAGUUUUUGUUGAGGAUUCAGGAUUGCUAGAAUUUUUUCAUAUGAUCAAUUUAAUUCCUGCUGGAUUCUGAAAAUAAUAUGGUCAUAUUAAAUAAGCAUAUAUGGUUUCAGUAAUUACAACUAUGGAUAUUGCUCAGGACAAUUCAGUUCAAAUGCUGCCAUAUCAGUUUCUCCUCCAAGUUCAGGAUAACUCAGCCAAGAGUGUGUUAUGGAACUCUUUAAGCAUUAUUCUCAAUGGUAUCUCAAGAUUUAAUUUUCUAAUGUUGCUCACUAUUUGGCUUGACAGGGCUAAAAUAUUGAGGAUGCGACACAGUUGUCUUUGAAGGGAUACAUUGAUGUUGAGUCGGUUUUGGCUGGUUAUUUGCCACUUCACCUCCUACUUUUGCCUCAAAAAGUUAUCUUGAAAUGUCUAAACAGUGGAGGGCCACCUUUUCUACUUUUUAUUGGCAUCCAGUCAUCUGCUAACCCAGGAGAUCAUCUAACGUUGUUGCUCGCUUCUCUUGUUGCUUUGAAUAGAAUAAAGGAGGUCAAUGAAGAGCUGAAGGAGGCAGAUUUUUUUGGGGACAUUGUUAUAGUUCUAUUCAUGGAUGUCAAGUUGUUUGAUUUGUUUUUCCAGAUGCCGUAGCUUUAUCUACAGAACAACCGGCUAUGAAGGUUCGUCCAUAAUUGGACAAUAUAAUGGACUUUUUACUUAUCUUCUUCACUUGUUCGUUGCGUGUGCCCCUUCACUGCAAGCUUGCUCUUGGUCCUCGGCUGCUGGUCACCUGGUGUAAUCAGCGGAGGGCAUGACAGACACAUGGCUGCCUCCAUCAUCCUAAGAUUGAGAAACCGGGCAUACCAUGUCUAUUGCAAAUUAUAGCCUCAAGAAAGCCAUGUAGGCCUCACACCUCAAGGCUUCAGCAAUAUGGGUUGUGGGCACAGAUCAGGGAGAGACUUUCUGAAGAAAUCAAAUUUGUGGACUGCGUGGAUACCAAGGUCAUAAUAUUGCAAUCAGAGCCUUAUCAUUUUUUCACCAAAGCAUCAUCAUGUUAGAGAAACACUACAGCCUUUGGCUUUCACUAAACCAAUGAAUAUUUUGAGCUCCUAGGUUGGUUCUUUGAUUCACAGUUUUCUAAUCAAUAUUUGUCAGACAAUAUUUUUAUCC